rnacentral:rRNA from 1 species
GAUGAACGCUGGCGGCGUGCCUAAUACAUGCAAGUCGAGCGAACGGACGAGAAGCUUGCUUCUCUGAUGUUAGCGGCGGACGGGUGAGUAACACGUGGAUAACCUACCUAUAAGACUAGGAUAACUUCGGGAAACCGGAGCUAAUACCGGAUGAUAUUUUGAACCGCAUGGUUCAAAAGUGAAAGACGGUCUUGCUGUCACUUAUAGAUGGAUCCGCGCUGCAUUAGCUAGUUGGUAAGGUAACGGCUUACCAAGGCAACGAUGCAUAGCCGACCUGAGAGGGUGAGCGGCCACACUGGAACUGAGACACGGUCCAGACUCCUACGGGAGGCAGCAGUAGGGAAUCUUCCGCAAUGGGCGAAAGCCUGACGGAGCAACGCCGCGUGAGUGAUGAAGGUCUUCGGAUCGUAAAACUCUGUUAUUAGGGAAGAACAUAUGUGUAAGUAACUGUGCACAUCUUGACGGUACCUAAUCAGAAAGCCACGGCUAACUACGUG